rnacentral:rRNA from 1 species
UACAGAGGUGGCAAGCGUUGUUCGGAAUUACUGGGCGUAAAGGGCGCGUAGGCGGUCAGGUCAGUCCCGUGUGAAAUCCCUCGGCUCAACUGAGGAACUGCACGGGAAACUGCCUGGCUUGAGUUCGGGAGAGGGAAGCGGAAUUCCGGGUGUAGCGGUGAAAUGCGUAGAUAUCCGGAGGAACACCGGUGGCGAAGGCGGCUUCCUGGACCGACACUGACGCUGAGGUGCGAAAGCGUGGGGAGCAAACAGG